AGAGGUAGGAAUUGGGUGCCCCACUAGACAGCAAUCUCUUCCACCCAGCUGCUCAGUGAGCUGACCCACAGCGAAGGAAGGAAUCCAGCAGGAUAGUUCCAGAGAUUGGCACUAGAUGGCGCCAUCAACUCAACAUAGCAUGGUUGCUGGAGGACUCUGCCUUGAUGGAUGGGUAGUUCAGAAGGCAGGUUUAUGUGAUCAGAUCCAGUGUUUGUCAAGAGGAAGGUGGUAUUCAGUGACAAAUGUACUAUAACAUUAAAAAUCAUCAGAUCUUUAUAUUUUUAAUAUUGCAGUGGUUUUUAUCCUUUAAUCUACUUACCUAUAGUCUCUGUCCAGGACGGGGUUUAUAAACACCCUCUCCUCACUCGAACAUAACCUCCCACAACCAGCUUACAACUGUGUAAAAUCUUACCAAUCCCAUUGAUAGAAUUUCUCUUCUUUGGCUUCGUCUCCUAUUAAUUUGCUGAUGCUUCAGAAAGAAGGGAUGUACUAGGUAUGCUGUUAUUUAUACACUGUUUUCCUCAAAUCCCUUUCCGAGAAUGGUUUUGAAAGGGAACAAGGGGACUAGUUAAGCACUGGUGGCCGGAAGCCGCACACCAGAGAGAGCAGAAGGAUGGAAUGAGGACAGUGGUUGGAAGAGCCAAGCAAAUCUUGCUUAGCUUUACAACUGCAGAAAGGAUCAUCAUCCCUGACACUGAUCUUACUAAAGAGAUAAUAUGAAAAGUAAGGGUUAACUCGAAGGAUGUCUACAUUUUCCUCUUGCUGAAUGGGUAAUAAUAUCUUUAUAGUUAAUUUCUUUUUUUUUCCCACAGUUUGACUCUUCAGGGCUCAUUCAUUUGCAUAAUAUGGAACCCAUAUAGAUAUUCUACAAAUCAAUGCAAGUAAUUCUCACACGAAAUCAGCUGCUUUAAUUUAAGCUCAUCAUUGUUUGCAUAGAAAUCUUUAUGCACUCAUCUGCCUGAUUUUUUUAAUCACUUAAAACCUCCAACAGUGACACACUAAGCAUCUCCUCAUUUAGCCAUCUCCAAAAUUUGAACUAAAUACUGAAAAAUAAGCACAAUAUAUUCAUAUGCUAGAUCAUUUUCCAAAUUGAGCUUCAAAUGUAUGCUUGAUGUUCUAGUAGCUCCCAAGAAUAAUGCCUCUUGACUAAGGAAGACCAACUUGGAUGUCCAGCCAGGGCCAGAGCUGAAUCAGCAUUCUAAACAGUGACCCUGCAAACCUGAGGUAA
rnacentral:lncRNA from 1 species